CCCCUAGAUGUUCUGGGCCGCACGCGCGCUACACUGAACAGUUCAACAAGUCUUAACCUUGGCCGAUAGGUCUGGGUAAUCUUUGAACGCUGUUCGUGAUUGGGAUAGACCUUUGCAAUUAUGGGUCUUCAACGAGGAAUUCCUAGUAAACGCAAGUCAUCAGCUUGCAUUGAUUACGUCCCUGCCCGUUGUACACACCGCCCGUCGCACCUACCGAUUGAAUGGUCCGGUGAAAUCUCGGGACGGCGGCUCGGUCGCUUGCGUCCGACUGCUGAAACUUGAUUAAACCAUAUCAUUUAGAGGAAGGUGAAGUCGUAACA
rnacentral:rRNA from 1 species